CUUACAGCAGUCUAAGUUACCCUUUGGAAGACAAGAUGUCAGAGGAGAUGGCACACAGACUUUUGCCAGUCAAAUGAACUUCACAACAAACCCGACAACUCGCUAACAGCUGAAGACUCCUGUCAAAGAUCUGCUACUGCCAGGAUGAGAGGACAGGACUCCACUUUUCCCUGUCUGUCAGGGACGAAGUCCAGUAGCUGCUCAGACUGGCUUAACAUCUGUGCCCGGCCACAGACAUUAUCUCCCGACUCUCCAGACCAGCCUGAGACAGCAGUUGGACAGUGGUGCUGCGCAGACUGUGGUUUGUGUACUUCCUUGAAAGGCCUGCUGCAUGGCUGAUCUUGAACAGCAUUUGCCCCAGGAUAUUGUGUCCCAUGGCCUCCCGAGAGUAUCAGACACCCUGCUGGUUAAGGAGCUGCUGGUCCUUUUUCAAAGGGAGAUGUACUUUUUAAAACUGGCGACAGGGAAAUUUGGGCUGUUAGGUUCAGCGAAAACACAGCUACGAUAAUUCUCCUCGCACAGAUCUCUGGCAUGGACAAGGACUACAGCUGAAAAUUAGAUUUAUUAGAUAAAUUACAUUUACAGAAAUGUCGAUUAAUGUGCAUUGUCCUUUAAAUAAAUGAAAUGAAAUCGAG